AAACUUGUCCAAAGUUUACAUCCAUCACAUUAGACAGUGCACCGGUAUGGUUGUAUAAGACUGCGCGACUAGGACUUCACAGUUUUUGUGGGUUCUGGUCAAUUAUAUGUGGUGAUUAUACAACGAUUCAAUCAUGUUUGGUGCGAUAGCUGAUGGAGAGAAUAACGAUGAAUCUUUAAGAACCUGUCUGGAUAACGUAACUGAAAGAGAGGUGUCAGUAGAUCCAUAUAUUG
rnacentral:snoRNA from 1 species